CCUACGGGAGGCAGCAGUGAGGAAUAUUGGACAAUGGGCGCAAGCCUGAUCCAGCCAUGCCGCGUGCAGGAUGACGGUCCUAUGGAUUGUAAACUGCUUUUAUACGAGAAGAAACACUCCUUCGUGAAGGAAUUUGACGGUAUCGUAAGAAUAAGGAUCGGCUAACUCCGUGCCAGCAGCCGCGGUAAUACGGAGGAUCCAAGCGUUAUCCGGAAUCAUUGGGUUUAAAGGGUCCGUAGGCGGUUUAAUAAGUCAGUGGUGAAAGCCCAUCGCUCAACGGUGGAACGGCCAUUGAUACUGUUAAACUUGAAUUAUUAGGAAGUAACUAGAAUAUGUAGUGUAGCGGUGAAAUGCUUAGAGAUUACAUGGAAUACCAAUUGCGAAGGCAGGUUACUACUAAUGGAUUGACGCUGAUGGACGAAAGCGUGGGUAGCGAACAGGAUUAGAUACCCUGGUAGUCCACGCCGUAAACGAUGGAUACUAGCUGUUGGAAGCAAUUUCAGUGGUGUAGACGAAGUAGAGUAAGUAGUACCACCGUACGGGAGGUACGGUUCGGUCGUAAGAAGUUAGUUAAACGUUAAAGUUAAGUUAAGUUAGUUACGGCGUUGAGAGUUAGCCGACGGACGACGACGAGGGAGGAGGAG
rnacentral:rRNA from 1 species